rnacentral:rRNA from 1 species
CUUUUUUGUAUGUGCUACGCGGACAGCAGUUCGAGCCAAAGAGGAGAGGGGCUAAGGAGAGAGGUCAGAGGUCGGUUUCUUCGGAAGGGCUAGACUUGAGGCCGGUGGUGGACGUCGCGCUCCCUCGAGGCCGGCGGAGGGACGUGGCAGUAGGAGCGGUAGCGACGGGGCGACGUCUGCCGUCGCAGUAGGGCAAGGGCGGCCCUGCGUCGGCCACGGGAGGAGGCGAAGCCCCCGGGCCCUUGCAGCGGCCGGAGGGGAGGUGCUGCCUCUCUCUGAGCAGUCCGGCGCCUUCCGACUUCCCCCGGAGCGCCACCUCGCCCUCGCCUGCGGCCGGCCGGCCGACGAUGCCGGAUGUAAACAAAAAGUCUUGUCGUGAUGUUGUGGUCGGUAUGGAUGAACCGUCAGUUCACUGUACCUCCGGCUUUUGUCGCUCCACCGACGAGACCAGCUCUUCUAGUGGCCGGAGGUGCGGCGGUAGAGGUUCGAGGGCAGCGAUUCGGGCAGGGGGCUUCAGCUGCGCGAGAAGUGACUCGACCAGCGCCGCACGCAGGGCAGCUCGGGCCACCUGCACUGGUUCGAGCCGGGCCUCCGUGUCCUCUACGCCGUCCUGGAGUAGGCGGAGACGAGCCGGCGGCUCCCCGACGAGCUCCGCGUGAUGAGGCUGUACGAGUGGCGGAACCUGUUGGGCGAGCUGGUGGAGCCGGCGAAGGGAAUGAAACUGUUGAUGUAGUUGGACUCGUUCGAGCUCGUGCUAGAAGACAGGCCAGUGCACCGUCGGGGCCGGGUGCACCGCAAGUAGCCCAGCCCUGGCGACGGCAAGUCGAGGGAGAAGGAGCGCUGCAUGGUGGACGGCCUGUGGGCCAAGCUGUUGAUGCUGGCCACGUCGCACCGGUUACCGGCCCGCUCCUUCGACCAGCCGCGCCGCCUGCUCCCGCACGCGCGCGCGUACCGCAAGGUGUGCCGGCUUCAGCGCCUGGAGUGCCGACUCGAGCCGCGCAUACUACACCAGAAGGACCGCCGCGAGCACCCUUACUGCAGGCUCCUCUUCCGGCUGCGGUAGCGCGUGAACCCCUUCGUGUACCGUCUACCCCGCCACGAGCAGCGCGCUUCGCGGGUGCCCCGCGCUCGCAAGGACAUAGGACAUCACCUCGACCUGCUAUAGCCCGCACCGCCCAAGGUUCACGACCGGCACGUGGUGGGACGUCCGCUACUCCACAAGUUGAGUAAGUAACAACGUGCCUUCCACUAAACAGCGCCAAAACACUAGAAAAACCUUAUAAAACGUUUUUACUUCUCGUCUUAGACUCGACUUUCUUCGUACGGGCCGUCGUGCGUCUCCUACCUACCCGUGUGCAAACGAAGGGGAGCUCGGCGCACCUCAGAGUACACCGAGGGCACAGAGCUCGUGCCGGCACUACUAGUUCUGUCGCUCGCAGCGACGAGAGAGAACAGCGCCGGCUUAAGCUCAUCCUUCGCUAGGGACGUCCACUGAACAACACCCGCCAAGGCACGAGAAGACUUCCACCUUUUGUGUAUACAGUCCUUUCUAACAGGCCACUCUUCCUUGCGGCCUUGCCGGCCGUCUUAGGCUCAGUCUCCCUUCCCUUCGUACAACGUGCCGUGCUGUUUCCUAUCCAACUAGCUGCCGACGAAGUAGAGUUCGGCGCGUUUAGGGAAGAUCGUGCCAGCUCUACUACCCUCAAUAUCCUCAGCCCCAUCGUCAUACAUCGAUAAACAAAGGAAUCAUGACUACUACUUUACGACAGUUCGUCGAUAGAAUCAAAAACACAAACAUAUGAACAUGGCUAGUUACGUUGGUCAGGUACUGUACACACAUUUUGUACCCUCGUGAAAGGGUUCAUGAUGUUAUUUUCCACUGGACCAGGAAGACCUUCACAUAUAAUAAUAAUAAUAA